AACGAACGCUGGCGGCAUGCCUAACACAUGCAAGUCGAACGAGACCUUCGGGUCUAGUGGCGCACGGGUGCGUAACGCGUGGGAACCUGCCCUUAGGUUCGGAAUAACUCCCCGAAAGGGGUGCUAAUACCGGAUAAUGUCCUCGGACCAAAGAUUUAUCGCCUUUGGAUGGGCCCGCGUUGGAUUAGCUAGUUGGUAGGGUAAAAGCCUACCAAGGCGACGAUCCAUAGCUGGUCUGAGAGGAUGAUCAGCCACACUGGGACUGAGACACGGCCCAGACCCCUACGGGAGGCAGCAGUGGGGAAUAUUGGACAAUGGGCGAAAGCCUGAUCCAGCAAUGCCGCGUGAGUGAUGAAGGCCUUAGGGUUGUAAAGCUCUUUUACCCGGGAUGAUAAUGACAGUACCGGGAGAAUAAGCUCCGGCUAACUCCGUG
rnacentral:rRNA from 1 species